GGGGGUGCGGAUGAGGUGUUCAACCAUAUUUUCAAGGGGCGCGGUCGGGUUUUUUGCCUAAAAUAUACACUAAAUUUUUUUUUCAAGGGUUGCGGCCGCCCACCCUGACCACUAUGUAGGUCCGCCCAUGCACUAAACCCGAAUUAAACAUGAGUAUAAUGAAAUUUUCAAGUUUAUCAUCUAGAACUCAAUCAAGAACCAAAUUCAAAGGCCUCAGCAAAUUAAACCCAAUAAACCCUAAUUAAACAUGAGUUUAAUGGUAACAUAAAAAUCUGAUUUUUAAUUUAUAAACUGAUUACAAAUUUUCUUGCUUUAUUUUGUUGGUACUAAAACUUUCAACUUUUAUCCUCUAAAACUCAAUCAAGAACCAAAUGGCCUCAAAGAUAAGCAACAGAGCAUCAAAAUCAACCCACUAAACCCUAAUCAAACAUGAGUUUAAUGGUAACAUAAAAAUCUGUUUUUUAAUUUACAAACUGAUUACAAAUUUCUUGCUUUAUUUUGUUGGAACUAAAAGUUUCAAAUUUAUCAUCUAAAACUCAAUCAAAAACCAAAUUCAAAGGCCUCAAAGAUAACCAAUAGAAUAACAAAAUUAAACAUGAGUCUAAUGGUAACAUAAAAAUCUGAUUUUUAAUUUAUAAACUGAUUACAAAUUUUCUUGCUUUAUUUUGUUGGUACUAAAAAUUUCAACUUUAUCAUAUAAAACUCAACCAAGAACCAAAUGGCCUCAAAGAUAAGCAACAGAGCAUCAACCCACUAAACCCUAAUUAAACAUAAAAAAAUCUGUUUUUUUUUUUUUUUUUUUUUUUUUUUUUUUUAAUUUACAAACUAAAUACAAACUUUCUUGGUAGUACA
rnacentral:lncRNA from 1 species